rnacentral:rRNA from 1 species
AUUAAAGGAGAAUUUUGCGCAAUGGGCGAAAGCUUGACGGAGCAAUACCGCGUGAGGGAGGAAGGCCUUGGGUUUAAACCUCCUUUCUCAAGGAAUAAGUUUUGAAGGUACUUGAGGAAUAAGCAUCGGCUAACUCCGUGCCAGCAGCCGCGGUAAUACGGAGGAUGCAAGCGUUAUCCGGAAUGAUUGGGCGUAAAGCGUCCGCAGGUGGUCCUGUAAGUCUGCUGUUAAAGAGUGAGGCUUAACCUCAUAAAAGCAGUGGAAACUACAGAGCUAGAGUGCGUUCGGGGCAGAAGGAAUUCCUGGUGUAGCGGUGAAAUGAAUAGAGAUCAGGAAGAACACCGGUGGCGAAGGCGUCUGCUAGGCCGCAACGACACUGAGGACGAAAGGCUG